rnacentral:rRNA from 1 species
AUACGGAGGGUGCGAGCGUUAAUCGGAAUUACUGGGCGUAAAGCGUACGUAGGCGGUUGGUUAAGUUAGAUGUGAAAGCCCCGGGCUUAACCUGGGAACUGCGUUUAAAACUGGCGAACUAGAGUUGAGUAGAGGGGAGUGGAAUUUCAGGUGUAGCGGUGAAAUGCGUAGAGAUCUGAAGGAACACCAGUGGCGAAGGCGACUCCCUGGACUCGAACUGACGCUGAGGUACGAAAGCGUGGGUAGCAAACGGGAUUAGAAACCCGGGUAGUCC